UACGUAGGCAGCAAGCGUUGUUUGGAGUUACUGGGCGUAAAGGGUGCGUAGGCGGCUUCUUGAGUCUGGUGUGAAAUCUCCCGGCUCAACUGGGAGGGUGCGCCGGAUACUGAGGGGCUAGAGUGUGGGAGAGGAAAGUGGAAUUCCUGGUGUAGCGGUGAAAUGCGUAGAUAUUAGGAGGAACACCAAUAGCGAAGGCAGCUCGCUGGGACGGUACUGACGCUAAGGCGCGAAAGCGUGGGGGGCGAACAGG
rnacentral:rRNA from 1 species